rnacentral:rRNA from 1 species
AGUGGCGAACGGGUGAGUAACACGUGAGUAACCUGCCCUUAACUCUGGGAUAAGCCUGGGAAACUGGGUCUAAUACCGGAUAUGACUCCUCAUCGCAUGGUGGGGGGUGGAAAGCUUUAUUGUGGUUUUGGAUGGACUCGCGGCCUAUCAGCUUGUUGGUGAGGUAAUGGCUCACCAAGGCGACGACGGGUAGCCGGCCUGAGAGGGUGACCGGCCACACUGGGACUGAGACACGGCCCAGACUCCUACGGGAGGCAGCAGUGGGGAAUAUUGCACAAUGGGCGCAAGCCUGAUGCAGCGACGCCGCGUGAGGGAUGACGGCCUUCGGGUUGUAAACCUCUUUCAGUAGGGAAGAAGCGAAAGUGACGGUACCUGCAGAAGAAGCGCCGGCUAACUACGUGCCAGCAGCCGCGGUAAUACGUAGGGCGCAAGCGUUAUCCGGAAUUAUUGGGCGUAAAGAGCUCGUAGGCGGUUUGUCGCGUCUGCCGUGAAAGUCCGGGGCUCAACUCCGGAUCUGCGGUGGGUACGGGCAGACUAGAGUGAUGUAGGGGAGACUGGAAUUCCUGGUGUAGCGGUGAAAUGCGCAGAUAUCAGGAGGAACACCGAUGGCGAAGGCAGGUCUCUGGGCAUUAACUGACGCUGAGGAGCGA